CCAGAAGUGUUUGGUUUGGUGGAACCCUGUUGUUCAUGUGUGAGCGGCUGAUUAGCCCUCAUGCCAUACAGCUGUGGGGGAACUAAUGAUUGGUUUGGCCGUUGCAGCAGGGGGUUCAAAUUGAUUGACGGACAUAGCUCCACUAUACUCCUGAACAGACCAGUGUUCUGUGGCUGCAGGGCAGAGUCUGCUGACGGUGUCUCUGCUUAUCGGCGGCUUCAUGCGUCUGUAGCGUCGGACAGCCGAGGUGUUGAGCUGAAUCUCAGGAUGUGGGACUAAAUACUACACUUCCCAGAACGCACCGGUAGCAGCAGAGAGGUGCUUGACACCUGAUCAGUGAUCACUGAUUUAGAGCACCUGGGAAGGACUGGGGGGAACUCAGUCAUUCAGACCAACACUCUUCAGAGGAAAAAGGAACAAGGAAAGAACAAAGGAGAUUCUAGUCCACUCGUGGAUUCAGUCCAAAGAUGCCAAUGGUUUACAACCUACUGCAAUAACACGACCAACCAACUACAAGGAAAAUAAAAGUUUGAGUUGGAAACUUGAAUUGAGUUGUCCUUACGUCCUUUGAAGGGAAAGAGGUGGACUUGACACCAGGUUUCAUAGAUGGCAACUAAGGUUAACUUUUUUUUUUUUUUU
ensembl:lncRNA